rnacentral:lncRNA from 1 species
GCCAGCAAAGCUCAAAUUGAUAAUAUUCAAUCUCACACAAAUGGAAUGAAAGUUGAAAUCAUAGAUGCCCUUUAGUUUUUGGAGUGACCUGUGUAGAUACUCCAUUACUAUGACAAAUAAGAGGGGUGAUAUAAGAUCACCCUAUCUUAGUCCUCUUCUAGCUUUCAUGACUUUAGUGUGGUCCCCAUUUAUGCUGAAUUUAUACGACACAGAUGUAAC